rnacentral:rRNA from 1 species
CCUACGGGAGGCUGCAGUGAGGAAUAUUGGUCAAUGGACGAGAGUCUGAACCAGCCAAGUAGCGUGAAGGAUGACUGCCCUAUGGGUUGUAAACUUCUUUUAUAUGGGAAUAAAACGUUCCACGUGUGGGAUUUUGUAUGUACCAUAUGAAUAAGGAUCGGCUAACUCCGUGCCAGCAGCCGCGGUAAUACGGAGGAUCCGAGCGUUAUCCGGAUUUAUUGGGUUUAAAGGGAGCGUAGGUGGAUUGUUAAGUCAGUUGUGAAAGUUUGAGGCUCAACCGUAAAAUUGCAGUUGAAACUGGCAGUCUUGAGUACAGUAGAGGUGGGCGGAAUUCGUGGUGUAGCGGUGAAAUGCUUAGAUAUCACGAAGAACUCCGAUUGCGAAGGCAGUUCACUGGACUGCAACUGACACUGAGGCUCGAAAGUGUGGGUAUCAAACAGGAUUAGAUACCCCAGUAGUC